AGAGUUUGAUCCUGGCUCAGAUUGAACGCUGGCGGCAUGCCUUACACAUGCAAGUCGAACGGCAGCGCGGGGCAACCUGGCGGCGAGUGGCGAACGGGUGAGUAAUAUAUCGGAACAUACCCUAGAGUGGGGGAUAACGUAGCGAAAGUUACGCUAAUACCGCAUACGCACUAAGGUGGAAAGCGGGGGAUCGCAAGACCUCGUGCUCAUGGAGUGGCCGAUAUCUGAUUAGCUAGUUGGUAGGGUAAAAGCCUACCAAGGCGACGAUCAGUAGCUGGUUUGAGAGAACGACCAGCCACACUGGAACUGAGACACGGUCCAGACUCCUACGGGAGGCAGCAGUGGGGAAUUUUGGACAAUGGGGGCAACCCUGAUCCAGCAAUGCCGCGUGAGUGAAGAAGGCCCUCGGG
rnacentral:rRNA from 1 species